AAUUGAAAUAGAGGACAGUGGCGGACGGGUGAGUAACGCGUGAGGAACCUGCCUCUCAGAGGGGGACAACAGUUGGAAACGACUGCUAAUACCGCAUGACACAUUUGGGCGGCAUCGCCUGGAUGUCAAAGAUUUUAUCGCUGAGAGAUGGCCUCGCGUCUGAUUAGCUAGUUGGUGAGGUAACGGCCCACCAAGGCGACGAUCAGUAGCCGGACUGAGAGGUUGACCGGCCACAUUGGGACUGAGAUACGGCCCAGACUCC
rnacentral:rRNA from 1 species